rnacentral:tRNA from 1 species
UAGCUCAGUUGUGUAGAGCGUGGUGUUUGCAACGCCAGGGUUGUGGGUUCGAUUCCCAC